ACCCCAUCAACAUGCUUUUCCAGCCCCAAGAUGGUCGCCGGCCCUGCUGUGCAUUCCAGAUGUCUCCAUGGGGGAAGUAUAUACUCUUCAGGACUUUAGUCCAUAGUGCAUCCUGGGAUGUGUGCAGCCGCCAUACUUGUUUACCCAGCAACGCAUUGUUGAAGAAAGAAGCUAUUCGCUUUUCAAUUGCUAUGCAGAUGGAGACUGGCACUUUGAAGAUCGACAUGGCGUAUGUCGGUAUAGCCUGCACCACACUCUUGAUCAGGACUUCCUUACCUGCUUUGGGAUACCUAAAUAUUUUCCAGUCUUGUCAACCACAGGCACUCUCAGCUCUUGAGCCAAGUUUCUUUUCAGUGAUUCUGACAUUCCGUUAAGGUGCCAUCCAAGAAGAAGAUAACAUCAUCUGCGAACAUAAGGAUAAACAAAUAAGGCGACAUGGGAUCUCCUUGCCUUAGGCCUCUGGAUGGACUGAAAAACGAGCUGGUGUAGUACUUCCUGCACGAUCAGGAUGUUAUCCUGAAUCUGACGCCCCUUGAUGAAGGCGCUUUGCUCAGGUGUGAUUAUAUCUGGCAGCCACUGCUUCAAUCUAUUUGCAAGUAGUUUUGAGAUGAUUUUAUAAUUGAAAUUGCAAAGACUGAUGGGUCUAUACUGACUAAUU